CACCCCCAGCCCCGCUGCCUGGCUGGAGGCUCCACAGGACAGCUGGGGAGAAGGGGAGAUGUGCCCGAUGGGAUACUAAUCAGCCCUCCCUUGCCAUGCCACACGGCUGGGCAAGUGACAAGAAGUAAGGGCGGAAGCUGCUGAGACUCUGAGCAGGACCGUUAGAUGAAGACUGGAUGUACUCCUACCCAAGGAGGCACUU